UACGGGGGGGGCAAGCGUUGUUCGGAAUUACUGGGCGUAAAGGGCUCGUAGGCGGCCAACUAAGUCAUACGUGAAAUCCCUCGGCUUAACCGGGGGAACUGCGUCUGAUACUGGAUGGCUUGAGUUCGGGAGAGGGAUGCGGAAUUCCAGGUGUAGCGGUGAAAUGCGCAGAUAUCAGGAGGAACACCGGUGGCGAAGGCGGGUCUCUGGGCCGAUGACUGACGCUGAGGAGCGAAAGCGUGGGGAGCGAACAGG
rnacentral:rRNA from 1 species